rnacentral:rRNA from 1 species
AUGGAGGCAAAGAAACAUCUCUUUCGCUUUGGGUCUUUCGCGAUAAAGGACGGGUCGGAGAUUCGUUUUUGGGAAGACAUAUGGCUAGGCAAUGCCAGUCUCCGAGAACAAUAUCCAGCCUUAUACAACAUUGCUCGCGAUAAGAAUAAUAUUAUUGCACAGGUGCUCAGUUCAUCCCCGCCAAAUAUUUCAUUCAGGCGGGAUUUGAUUGGCCCCCGACUUGUGGCAUGGCAUAAUCUUUUAUCCAGGUUAGACUCGAUUAACCUGACACAAGGCCGGGAUGUGUUUUGCUGGAACCUUACUACAUCUGGUUCUUUCACUGUAGACUCUAUGUACCUUGCGUUCACAUAUUCUGAGGUACUAGUGAGUAAUAACAAGAAAAUUUGGAAGUCCAAGAUUCCACUAAAAGUGAAAAUUUUCAUGUGGUAUCUUCGUAGGGGAGUUGUGUUAACCAAAGACAACUUCGCACGACGCAACUAG